GGAUGUGAGGGCGAUCUGGCUGCGACAUCUGUCACCCCAUUGAUCGCCAGGGUUGAUUCGGCUGAUCUGGCUGGCUAGGCGGGUGUCCCCUUCCUCCCUCACCGCUCCAUGUGUGUCCCUCCCGAAGCUGCGCGCUCGGUGGAAGAGGACGACGUCCCAGGUAUAGAAGGAGUGUACCGAGGUCUCCAGUCUUCGGUCCCGGGGUAAUGUUACAGUUGCUGCCUGCUUAGAAUUUCUUCUUUGAGCCAUUGCAAUUAAAUUAGAGGUUAGAUCCCUUAAAUAGGAACUCCAGUUGAUCUUGAAGCAGCUUCCACU
rnacentral:snRNA from 1 species